rnacentral:rRNA from 1 species
GAUGAACGCUGGCGGCGUGCUUAACACAUGCAAGUCGAACGGAAAGGCCCAAGCUUGCUUGGGUACUCGAGUGGCGAACGGGUGAGUAACACGUGGGUGAUCUGCCCUGCACUUCGGGAUAAGCCUGGGAAACUGGGUCUAAUACCGGAUAGGACCACAUUUUGGAUGGUGUGGUGGAAAGUUUUUCGGUGUGGGAUGAGCUCGCGGCCUAUCAGCUUGUUGGUGGGGUAAUGGCCUACCAAGGCGUCGACGGGUAGCCGGCCUGAGAGGGUGUACGGCCACAUUGGGACUGAGAUACGGCCCAGACGCCUACGGGAGGCAGCAGUGGGGAAUAUUGCACAAUGGGCGCAAGCCUGAUGCAGCGACGCCGCGUGGGGGAUGACGGCCUUCGGGUUGUAAACUCCUUUCGCUAGGGACGAAGCGUUAUGUGACGGUACCUGGAGAAGAAGCACCGGCUAACUACGUG